UCGGCUUAGAGUUUGAUCCUGGCUCAGGAUGAACGCUGGCGGCGUGCCUAAUACAUGCAAGUCGAACGAAACUUCUUUAUCACCGAGUGCUUGCACUCACCGAUGAAGAGUUGAGUGGCGAACGGGUGAGUAACACGUGGGCAACCUGCCCAAAAGAGGGGGAUAACACUUGGAAACAGGUGCUAAUACCGCAUAACCAUAGUUACCGCAUGGUAACUAUGUAAAAGGUGGCUAUGCUACCGCUUUUGGAUGGGCCCGCGGCGCAUUAGCUAGUUGGUGAGGUAAAGGCUUACCAAGGCAAUGAUGCGUAGCCGAACUGAGAGGUUGAUCGGCCACAUUGGGACUGAGACACGGCCCAAACUCCUACGGGAGGCAGCAGUAGGGAAUCUUCCACAAUGGGCGAAAGCCUGAUGGAGCAACGCCGCGUGGGUGAAGAAGGUCUUCGGAUCGUAAAACCCUGUUGUUAGAGAAGAAAGUGCGUGAGAGUAACUGUUCACGUUUCGACGGUAUCUAACCAGAAAGCCACGGCUAACUACGUGCCAGCAGCCGCGGUAAUACGUAGGUGGCAAGCGUUAUCCGGAUUUAUUGGGCGUAAAGGGAACGCAGGCGGUCUUUUAAGUCUGAUGUGAAAGCCUUCGGCUUAACCGGAGUAGUGCAUUGGAAACUGGGAGACUUGAGUGCAGAAGAGGAGAGUGGAACUCCAUGUGUAGCGGUGAAAUGCGUAGAUAUAUGGAAGAACACCAGUGGCGAAAGCGGCUCUCUGGUCUGUAACUGACGCUGAGGUUCGAAAGCGUGGGGAGCAAACAGGA
rnacentral:rRNA from 1 species